UACGUAGGGGGCAAGCGUUGUCCGGAAUCAUUGGGCGUAAAGAGCGUGUAGGCGGUCCUGUAAGUCCGCUGUGAAAGUCAAGGGCUCAACCCUUGAAUGCCGGUGGAUACUGCAGGACUAGAGUCCGGAAGAGGCGAGUGGAAUUCCUGGUGUAGCGGUGAAAUGCGCAGAUAUCAGGAGGAACACCGAUGGCGAAGGCAGCUCGCUGGGACGGUACUGACGCUGAGGAGCGAAAGCGUGGGUAGCAAACAGG
rnacentral:rRNA from 1 species